rnacentral:tRNA from 1 species
GCCCCGGUAGCUCAGUCAGGCAGAGCGGCGGGCUGUUAACCCGUAGGUCGGAGGUUCGAGUCCUCCCCGGGGCGCCA